rnacentral:rRNA from 1 species
UACGGAGGAUGCAAGCGUUAUCCGGAUUCAUUGGGUUUAAAGGGUGCGCAGGCGGGGAUGUAAGUCAGUGGUGAAAAGCUGCCGCUUAACGGUAGUCUUGCCAAUGAUACUACAUUUCUUGAGUAUGGUUAAGGUAGGCGGAAUGUGCAGUGUAGCGGUGAAAUGCAUAGAGAUUGCACAGAAGGCAGAUUGCGGAGGCAGCUUACUGAGCCAUAACUGACGCUGAGGCACGAAAGCGUGGGGAU